rnacentral:rRNA from 1 species
AUGAACGCUGGCGGCGUGGAUAAGGCAUGCAAGUCGGACGAUUUCCUUUUUUGAAGAAGAUGCGAUUACAUCAAGUCAACUGAUAUUUUGGAGAUAGUGGCGAACGAGCUAGUAACACCUUGGUACGUACCCAAAAGUUUGGUAUAGCUCGCCGAAAGGCGGGGUAAUCCCAAAUAAUCCCUCUAUCUAUCGGAUAGAAGGGUAAAGUCGCAAGACGCUUUUUGGAGCGGCCUAGGACCGAUCAGUUAGUUGGUGAGGUAAUGGCUCACCAAGACGAUGACCGGUAGGGG